rnacentral:rRNA from 1 species
GAUGAACGCUAGCUACAGGCUUAACACAUGCAAGUCGAGGGGCAGCAUGAACUUAGCUUGCUAAGUUUGAUGGCGACCGGCGCACGGGUGAGUAACACGUAUCCAACCUGCCGAUGACUCGGGGAUAGCCUUUCGAAAGAAAGAUUAAUACCCGAUGGCAUAGUUCUUCCGCAUGGUGGAACUACUAAAGAAUUUCGGUCAUCGAUGGGGAUGCGUUCCAUUAGGUUGUUGGCGGGGUAACGGCCCACCAAGCCUUCGAUGGAUAGGGGUUCUGAGAGGAAGGUCCCCCACAUUGGAACUGAGACACGGUCCAAACUCCUACGGGAGGCAGCAGUGAGGAAUAUUGGUCAAUGGACGAGAGUCUGAACCAGCCAAGUAGCGUGAAGGAUGACUGCCCUAUGGGUUGUAAACUUCUUUUAUACGGGAAUAAAGUGAGGCACGUGUGCCUUUUUGUAUGUACCGUAUGAAUAAGGAUCGGCUAACUCCGUGCCAGCAGCCGCGGUAAUACGGAGGAUCCGAGCGUUAUCCGGAUUUAUUGGGUUUAAAGGGAGCGUAGGCGGACGCUUAAGUCAGUUGUGAAAGUUUGCGGCUCAACCGUAAAAUUGCAGUUGAUACUGGGUGUCUUGAGUACAGUAGAGGCAGGCGGAAUUCGUGGUGUAGCGGUGAAAUGCUUAGAUAUCACGAAGAACUCCGAUUGCGAAGGCAGCUUGCUGGACUGUAACUGACGCUGAUGUUCGAAAGUGUGGGUAUCAAACAGGAUUAGAUACCCUGGUAGUCCACACAGUAAACGAUGAAUACUCGCUGUUUGCGAUAUACAGUAAGCGGCCAAGCGAAAGCGUUAAGUAUUCCACCUGGGGAGUACGCCGGCAACGGUGAAACUCAAAGGAAUUGACGGGGGCCCGCACAAGCGGAGGAACAUGUGGUUUAAUUCGAUGAUACGCGAGGAACCUUACCCGGGCUUGAAUUGCAACUGAAUGAUGUGGAGACAUGUCAGCCGCAAGGCAGUUGUGAAGGUGCUGCAUGGUUGUCGUCAGCUCGUGCCGUGAGGUGUCGGCUUAAGUGCCAUAACGAGCGCAACCCUUAUCGAUAGUUACCAUCAGGUUAUGCUGGGGACUCUGUCGAGACUGCCGUCGUAAGAUGUGAGGAAGGUGGGGAUGACGUCAAAUCAGCACGGCCCUUACGUCCGGGGCUACACACGUGUUACAAUGGGGGGUACAGAAGGCAGCUACACGGCGACGUGAUGCUAAUCCCGAAAGCCUCUCUCAGUUCGGAUUGGAGUCUGCAACCCGACUCCAUGAAGCUGGAUUCGCUAGUAAUCGCGCAUCAGCCACGGCGCGGUGAAAUACGUUCCCGGGCCU